UACGUAGGGUGCGAGCGUUGUCCGGAAUUAUUGGGCGUAAAGAGCUUGUAGGCGGUUUGUCGCGUCUGCCGUGAAAAUUCGAGGCUCAACCUCGAACUUGCGGUGGGUACGGGCAGACUAGAGUGUGGUAGGGGAGACUGGAAUUCCUGGUGCAGCGGUGAAAUGCGCAGAUAUCAGGAGGAACACCGAUGGCGAAGGCAGGUCUCUGGGCCACUACUGACGCUGAGAAGCGAAAGCGUGGGGAGCAAACGGG
rnacentral:rRNA from 1 species